rnacentral:lncRNA from 11 species
AAAAGCUUCGGUGGCUGAUGCAUGCAAAUCAAGGUGCAUUCAAAACCAAGUCUGACCUUUUUAGCUUCUGGUCAUUGGCCACCAUUGCUUCUACAUUGCAGGGAUACAGAGGCUACUCUGUUGUUGAGGAAAGUCUGCUCUCCUUGUCUUAGAGAUGAAUUUUAAAACUUCAAGGCUGCAUUUCAGAGGAAGGAACUGGAAAAACCACUCUAAGGACACAUGGUCAACAGAUGAUCUGAAGACACAUACACAAACAUGGAAGGUUAAAAAUGUGGGUCUAGAACUACUAAAAUUUGCGUCAAGUCCAUGUAAGAAAGCAAACUGCAAAGCGAAUGAAUGCAAGUCUAAAUUGUAUCACAUAAUGCCAUUAUUUCUUACAUAAAAUCAAGAGGGAGCCAACUGGACAAACAAAAGCUUUCAGAAAGGGAGAGCCUAGCUUGUCUACUUAGUACAGCAUAUGGCACUGUGAACAUUAUGGAUUUAAUUUCAGCUAAAAAUGCCUUCAGCUGUUUUCAUACAUCUCCCAUGUAAUCCUUCACUUUUUGCUAGCUCAAUUGGUUUUGGCCUGAAAAGAAUGAGGAUUCCUUUUGCAUAUUGCCUUCAAAAACUACCUGACUUAAAGAAUCUCAUUGUGUUCAGGAAGAGAAAACAAGCAAUGUUUUUUCCACGUUCUGAAGAAGCAGAAAGCAAGCAAGUUGCCAGGUUGGAAAAUUAACAUACAUGACCAACUUUUGUCAGAGAGAGAGAGCUUUGCUGGUAAAAGAACACAGCAGUACAGAAGAUGCCCGAUUGCAGAUGUAAAAACAAAGGAUUAAAUAAAGCCACGUGUAAAGAUGUAAUUGCUACUGUUUAUAGAUUAUGUAAUCCAAAGUCCUAGAUUGGAUGUUGCAGCAUCUUCCUAAGCUUUGAUUUGGAAAUGAGGAUUUUCAUCAUGGAUCUGAAGUAUGCCAUUCCAGUGGGAUUUCAAAGUCACAUGUACAUUAAGUCUUUGCAGUAACUAUUUAUAAUGCCAGAAUUGCUGUCAUGUGAUUUCACCAUCUGGUCUGUUUGUCUCGAGGCAACUUCUUGAAGCUAACCUUGCUAUCUGAAACCAGGGCUUUCUCCCAAUUUCUGCAUUAAAAACAGUGCAUUUCACAUACAAUGAAUAUAAGAGCAUGACCUGGUAUAAUAGCUCCAAACAAAAUGCAGCAUUGUCCAAACCCUUCAUUGUUUAAGACAGCACGACCAACAAUUUGUGCUUCCUUUGGCAGUCUUGAACUAAAUUGAUCAGACUGAUGAUGGGACUGGUGGAAAGGAAUGACUUGGUUGAACCAAAGCACUACUUCCUAUUGCUGUGAUUCUGUGUUAAACUGAAAAUAGCAUGAUCAGGCUCUCCAGCACCAUUUUCUGUUCAGUGAAUCUGACUGCAUCAAAUAUUUGUACCUCAAAUGCAUUGUUUUAUCAAUGUUUUAUGGCUUGGAGUAUAUAGCUCUGGUUGGUUACAUUUUGAAUAGUAAAAACAAAAUUAAUGCCAAGUCUGUUAAGGCGUUUGUGAAGAUGCAAUGUUUCUUUUUUGUUUUCUAUUUUUCUGAAAAGCCACAAUUUUACAGAUGUACUUGCUUACACUGGGACACACACAACUGGGAUUUUAAGUGAACUAAUGAUCUAUCUUAAGCCUGUGGUUUCCAAACUUUGGCCUGGAGAAAAGAAGGUCAUGAGGUGACAUUAUAACUACAGUAGAGUCUCGCUUAUCCAACAUAAAUGGGCCAGCAAAACAUUGGAUAAGCAAAAAUGUUGGAUAAUAAGGAGGGAUUAAGGAAAACCUAUUAAACAUCAAAUUAUGUUAUGAUUUUACAAAUUAAGCACCAAAACAUAUUUUACAAGUCUGCUACUUCUUUGGGAGCAUGGCUGCACUUGGUUGUUGGGUAUGUUGGCCCGCUGCUCGUUGCUGCCUAGAGAAAUGGCUGUGGAUCCGGGGGGAGGCAGACUGCAUUGGAUAAUACAAAAUGUUGGAUAAGUGAGACUAUACUGUAUGUUUAAAUAUUUCAAAGGACAUCAUAUUAAAAAGGGAGAAAUGUUUUCUGUUUCUCUGGUGACUAGGACAUUGAGCAAUAGAUUCAAACCAUAGGAAAAAAGAUAUAUCGUAAUCUGAAUAUUAGGAAGAAUUUCAAAGAGCUUUUUAACAGUGGAAUAUGCUGCCUUGGAGUGUGGUGAAGUUUCCUUCUCUUGAGGUUUUUUUUUUAAAAAAAAACAGAGGUUGGGUAUCCAUAUGUUCAGAUUUCCUUGGUUGCAUAUUCCUGC